AAAAUGCGAUAAGUAAUGUGAAUUGCAGAAUUCAGUGAAUCAUCGAAUCUUUGAACGCACAUUGCGCCCGCCAGUAUUCUGGCGGGCAUGCCUGUCCGAGCGUCAUUUCAACCCUCAAGCCCCCGGGUUUGGUGUUGGGGAUCGGGCUGCGGUUCUACCGCGUCCCGGCCCCGAAAUCUAGUGGCGGUCUCGCUGCAGCCUCCAUUGCGUAGUAGCUAACACCUCGCAACUGGAACGCGGCGCGGCCAAGCCGUUAAACCCCCAACUUCUGAAUGUUGACCUCGGAUCAGGUAGGAAUACCCGCUGAACUUAAGC
rnacentral:misc_RNA from 1 species